GACGAACGCUGGCGGCGUGCUUAACACAUGCAAGUCGAACGGAGCUAUUUAUUUCGGUAAAUCGCUUAGUGGCAAACGGGUGAGAAACGCGUAGGCAACCUGCCCUCAGGAUGGGGACAACGGCUCGAAAGAGCCGCUAAUACCGAAUGACGUAACUCUUCCACAUGGAAGAGAUACUAAAGAUGGGUCAAACCAUCGCCUAAGGAUGGGCCUGCGUCUGAUUAGCCAGUUGGUGAGGUAACGGCUCACCAAAGCGACGAUCAGUAGCCGGUCUGAGAGGAUGAACGGCCACAAUGGGACUGAGACACGGCCCAUACUCCUACGGGAGGCAGCAGUGGGGAAUCUUCCGCAAUGGGCGAAAGCCUGACGGAGCAACGCCGCGUGAGUGAAGAAGGUCUUCGGAUCGUAAAGCUCUGUUGUCGGGGACGAAAGGGUAGACGAGGUAAUGCGUUUACUAAGACGGUACCCGACGAGGAAGCCACGGC
rnacentral:rRNA from 1 species